UGGAGCCAGCCAAAACCACUGCACUCCUGCCAGAUCUGCAGCUCACCUGGAGCUCUGCUGGGGCUGGCAGAGGUGCACAAGUGCUGCACCACAGGGCUGAGGGGCAGGGAAGGGGUGCUCGGUGUGCCAGAGGCAAAACGCAAUACAAAUGGGGUUUGUACACUCGAGUUCUGGUGAUUGGCUGCAGCUGGGCUCUUGGGACACAUUGCUUGAGAUUCAUAUUCACUUCCUUUAAACAAAGCAAUUUAAAAAGCUGUCUGAAGCAUGACAGAGCUAAGCCCACCUGCAGGGCAGCAGCAGCACAGACGCAGCUGAUGCUCUGUGUUAUUGCUUCAAAGGGUGCCCUGGCGCUGUCAGUGUGGUCUGUGGGGUGGCAUUAAACAGCCAAAUCCCUGGUGCUUUCAAAUAAGGGAGAAGACAAUGUGCCUGUCUGCCUGCAAGGGCUGUAUUGAGGCUGUCAGCUCAUCCUUGGAUGAAACAGAUGUGAUGAGUCUUCCUCUGUGACUGCUUUGAAACUGCAAUUGAUUUUUGAAGGAGCUGAAAGUUGUCCGUGUGUCUCUUGACCUUUGUAUGCUCCUUGAAAUCCUGUUUCUAGUAAAGUCUGGUGAAAAGCAGCACCUGUCUCCACUGACCUCGUGGGGCUUUGCCAGGAAUGGGUACAGUAAUUUGUAGUUCAGAGAAAUUCUCUGUGCUCAGACACUGCACACAGACCAGAGCGAUGUGAUAUUCUAUGGCUGUCAUCUCUGUUUCAGAAAGGCUUAGGAGACUGGAGGUGCCUUCUCUAUGUCAGAAAUUGAAUUGCUCCAGUGAACUGAUGCUUCUGAGAUUAACUUGUGGGCUGCACUACUGACUCAAAAGAGCCCAACCCCUGCCACCAGAUCCUGCAGAAGAUGGUGAAUCCUCUGAAGAACAACAGAUGUGAUGUGACCCCGACCUUAAUGAUAAACUGCAUCUCCUGUGCUCAAGCUCGGUUUUGUACAGUUUAUGGCUUACAUUCAGCUGUUGUACAGAACUAAAGGUAGAAGUAUGAGAGACUGCAAGAACAUUGCAGUGAAAUUAAUAUAUACUUUUUGAAACUCAGCAUUCAGUAUAAGUUGCUGGUUUAGUUUUUAUCUUGGUUUCCUUGAGUUCCUUAGAGAUUCCUGCACAUAGUGUAGCUUUUAUGUCUUGAUUGCCUCGUGCUUGUCAGAGACUUGCAUGUUUGUGCCAGUUCUGGUUUUAGGAAGCAGAUCCUUGGUUUUCUAAUACACUGAAGCAGUCUAAAAAUA